rnacentral:rRNA from 1 species
UACGUAGGGUCCGAGCGUUGUCCGGAAUUAUUGGGCGUAAAGGGCUCGUAGGCGGUUUGUCGCGUCGGGAGUGAAAACCUACGGCUUAACUGUGGGCUUGCUUUCGAUACGGGCAGACUUGAGGCAUGCAGGGGAGAACGGAAUUCCUGGUGUAGCGGUGAAAUGCGCAGAUAUCAGGAGGAACACCCGGUGGCGAAGGCGGUUCUCUGGGCAUGUUCUGACGCUGAGGAGCGAAAGUGUGGGGAGCGAACAGG